rnacentral:rRNA from 1 species
UACGUAGGGAGCAAGCGUUGUCCGGAAUUAUUGGGCGUAAAGAGCUUGUAGGCGGUUUGUCGCGUCUGCUGUGAAAUUUCGGGGCUCAACCCCGAACUUGCAGUGGGUACGGGCAGACUAGAGUGUGGUAGGGGAGACUGGAAUUCCUGGUGUAGCGGUGAAAUGCGCAGAUAUCAGGAGGAACACCGAUGGCGAAGGCAGGUCUCUGGGCCAUAACUGACGCUGAGAAGCGAAAGCGUGGGGAGCGAACAGG